AACGAAGGCUGCGGGCUCUAGCCACCUUGCAGGCUCCGGGGACGGAGAUUUCCGGAGACCAGGACGCAGAUUUUGCGCUUCUAAAGCGUUCCCAGGACUUGGGAAAUCUGUCAGGCCUGAAUCCACGCUCUGAGCGCAAGUUCCACCCAUCUCUCCGUGGCCCGAAGCUGCACGGUGGAAAUCGCCACCGGCCCUCGCUCUGGAAACAGCCCCUCCUCGGUUGGGCCCCUUCCGGCCCCGCCCCUUAUCCCACACGCUUCCUAGAGGCUGCACUUUCAGAACCCCGGGCUUCUCCGACACCACCGCUUGACAGCGCGAGAGGUCGCUAACUCGCCUCUCUUCGCAAAGUGUUGUGAAUUUCAAUUCUAAAAGCGCCGAAAAACUAUAUUCAGUGUGCUUGAUCACUGUACAGUGUUUCCACAAAGUUGGACCUCUGGACGCUCCCCCAGCACUGCGGGAGGACCCUCCUUGCUUCUGGCCUCUGCGAUAUUAAAGGCCACCUCACUUCCUGGUUGCCUGGAGGCCCAGAGGGUGGUGAGCCCCGGAUUGAAGGCGCCACUGGGCGGCGCGGGGCGCCGCUGGGGCUCUCCUGCCUGGCCAGCAUCACUUCCUGUUGAGGGGGAGGAGCAGAUCUAAGAAAGUCAGACUUGCUGUCUGCCUGACGCCCUUGCCUGGACUAAAGCCCACCGACACAGGCGUUACACUCUCCAAGGAUUGCGUUUAUACUAGACGAGGCCAUGGAAACACUAAGGGAUAUCGUGGCUCCCCUUCUCCUUGAGAUCCUCAGUGAAUUCCUUGCGGAGAAGAUAAAGAUCAAUAUAAGAGAGCAAGUAAGGGCAGAGUCAGAUGACCAGCGGAUGGGUUUCUUGGACCGCAUAGUUGCCCCUCUAAUGAAGAAGGUUCUUCAAUUGGUACUGGAGAAGACGGCUCCAGUGCUAUUCAACAGGUUUAUUGUGAAACCAUGGAAAUACGUCAUCACAUACGUUGCGAAAAAGAGGAUGCAUCCUGAACCAAUACAUGUGACGAUAGUUUAAUUACCAGUAUCCACGGCGCAGUCGAAGCUUGGAAUACUACAAGCAAUCCACGUGGCUUCAACGCUAAGUAAAAGCACCGCAAGAUGGCCUUUUUCCGGCGGAAGGGGAGAUUUCGGUGUUCGCUGACUACCUGGCUGGCCAGUGGUGAGGAUAUUUCUGUCCUCAGCUCUUGGCUCUGCUCGGCUCUGCUCGGCUCUGCUCUGCUCUACUCUACUCUACACUACACUACCCUACAGUACUCUAUUGUCCUCGCCUCUACAGUAGUCUAGUCUGUUGACAAAACCGUGAAUAGGAUGGAGAAGAGAGAUGCUAAGGGGGAUCGUGAGUGCAUUUUUCGAGGAUCACACGGGUGUCUCUCUAACGAAAAAGUUAAUGACAAGGUCCACAGAACCAGUUGAUGUCGUUCUGAGACCAGAUGUCUAUGUCGCUAAUGGAGAUGAUUCUUAUAUUAGUUCUGGGCAACCAGUUCCUCCUGGAACGUUUCAAAACAUCAUCACGUUUUUUUUUUUGUGAAAAAGAUGAUGCGUAGAAGCCAACCGUUGGGAUUGUGUAUCGCACAGGCAUUUAACCGCCAGAUCGUCGAGAGAUCGUUCUAAAGUAACAUCGUAUAUUCUGGGAGACUGCUCCCAUCCUAUAUUAGCAGCUCGUCAUGUCACCUUCAACAAACAGCAUCACACAUCUCGUUAAGAAGAUGAUGUGCUCAGCCAGCUUGUGGGGUUGCAGUUUAAUUACGAGUUAUCGUUUGCGGACAUAUCUAAACGGGCAGAUCAACGAGAAAACUUUAAAAAACAGCAUCGAACAUCUUUUUUAAGAGAUGAUGCUUCGGAGACUAACAGCAAUGAUUUACGCAGAAAUAUGAAGUAUAAACCGGCACGAUACGAUAGCCACAUAUUGGUGGACGAGAUGCCCUGUCCUUGCUUCCUCAGCAGUUACUCCCCGCUCCUAUCAGCAACAACUGGAGGGACAUUUCUGUUCUCAACCCUUUGCUAUGCUCAUUUUGCCAAAUCUAAAUGCCUGACGAAGAAUAGAGUUUUGAAAUGCAGCAAAUAAAUACACGGAUUUAUCUUUAGUACAUGACAUGGAGUCUCCUGGCCUGAUUUUGUGCUGAUUUCCUUCUCCACUUUGGCUCUGGGUCUCUCUUCUGAACCAUUAGGGAUGGAGGGGGCUGAGAUUGUGGGGGUACACCGUUGAGGGAGAAAGUGUGUGUGGAGUGGGCUGACCAUGAAUGGGGGAGUUUCAGACUGGAAUUAAGAGUUCUGGGGGGAGCACUGAGAACCUGUUGUGUCAGGAAGGGAUGCCGAAGGUUGGGGGGCGGUUCUUAAGAAAGCUCGACGGUUACAGGGUGCAUUUCCUGCUUUGAAGGGAGUUUAGAAAAGGAGGACUAGAGGAACGAUGGCAUCCCUGAUGUCUUCCGUGGGAAAACAGGCACAGGAGAGGCAACAUUGCAGAGGUAAACAUUGCGGGCAGAUGAUGCUGCAGGUGAUAAAAAUUCUGUAGCAAGAGGAACCACUGGAUGGGUUAAGAGAGACCUGACCGGGGGUAGGUGAAAGUGGUCGAGAUCAAUCCAAGUGGAAGGCACACAGCUCCUCUUCCAGGGACCUCUGUGUACAUGGACAGCCUGCAGUGCUCUGGCUCUUUUCUCUCCUGACUCAAAGAAACCAUCCCAUUACCAACAUCUAUGACAGAAACCACUGUAGCCUGUCAGUGGAGAACAAAUGGAGAGAGAAGCACACUUGAUGGGCCUUUUUUUCUCAGUGGCGUUCAGCUGCACAGAGAGACCACCAGUCUACCACCAGUUGCCACAGAACCGACUCUGACUCCUGGAGACCCCAUGUUUUAGAAGUAGAUCCCCAGGCCUUUCUUCACAGGUGCCUCUGGCUGGACAUGAACUUCCAGCCUUGCAGUUUACAGCCCAGCCUUCGGCCAUUUGCACCACCAGGGGCUCGACAGAGACAGGCAGUUCCUCUCACAAUACUGUCUUUUCCUGUCAUGUGGCUGGAAGAACAGGGCACUGACAAGUUCCUUGGAGGUUAAAAAUCUUUAAAACUGGAUUCAUCUGUGCACCCUGGCUUCAAUAUGCAAAUAGAAACCUGUGGUUGGUUUAACACAGAACCGACCUCUGGUGGGGCAAAUCUCUACUGAAUAGCCAUGUUUGGUUUAUACUCGAAGUAGCACAUUAAAUGCUGAAAGAAGAAAAAAUCCUAUAGCGUUAGAGUCAUUUCCGACUCAUAGCGACCCUAUAGGACAGAGAAGAACUCCCCCAUAGGAUUUCCAAAACUGUGAACUGUAAUUCCACUGUCAAGAAAGAUGUGCCGGCGGCAGAGCACGGCCUGUGCUCUCGAGGUCCCUGGGCUGUGAAGCCCCUAGACCAGGGCCAGUUUGUUGACAAGGACCUGCCCCCAGCGAUGAUACAGACGGAAAGCCUUCUCCUGGAUCUGGCGCCUUGAAUCCAGACUCCUAGCCAGCAUGCAUCUUAACGUUUGUGCCACUGUGGUGGCUUGCAUUUUCUCGUGAUACUGGAAGCUAUGCCACCACUAUUUCAAGUACCAGAGGACUCACCCAUGGUGGACAGGAUUCAGCGGGGCAUCCAGACUAACACAGGCUGAAAAGAAAGACCUGGCAGUUUAUUCCGAGAAGACUGGCCAGGAAAAAUCUUGUGAAUAACAGAGGAACAUUGUCGGAUAUGUUGCCAUAAAAGGAACCCAUCAGGUUGGAAGACACUCAAAACAAGACUGGGGAAGAGCUUCCUAAUCAUUGAACCAAACCAACCGAACAACCAAACAAAAAACCCAUUGCCUUGGGGUCGGUUGUGAUUCAUAGCAACCCUAUAGGACACAGCAGAGCUACCCCAUAGGGUUUCCAAGGAGCACCUGGUGGAUUCAAACUGAGGACCUUUUGGUUAGCAGCCAUAGCACUUAACCACUAUGCCAUCGGGGUUUCCACUCAAAGGACAGUCGACGUUAAUGAUGUAGAUGGGGUCAAGAUUUCAAGAGCUUCAUUUGCUCUUGUGGCACAACUCAAAAUGAGAAAAAACCCUGCAAACCCCCUUAAUAGUCAGAGUAGGGAAUGUACUGAGUAUGAGUCUAGGAAAAUUGGAACUGGGAAGAAACGAAAAGGAUCACAUAAAGGUGGAUAGCCUACACAUCAAUGAGAUCCAAUGGACCAGUGUUGGCCGUUUUGAGUCAGACGAUUACGUGUUCUACUAUGCCAGGAAUGACAACUUGAAGAGGAAUGGCGUUGCUUUCGUUGCCAAAAGGGGCAAUUCAAGAUCUAUCCUGAAGUGCAGAGCUGUUAGGGAGGGGAAGAUAUCCACACGCUUACAAGGAAGACCAGUUAAGAGGACUGUGAUUCAAAUUUACACACCAAGCACCAAUGCCAAAGCUGAAGAAAUUGAAGAUUUUUACCAACUUGUGCAGUCUGAAAUUGAUCAACAUGCAAUUGAGAUGCAUCAAUAAUGACUGGUGGCUAGGAUGCAAAGCUGGACAUAAAGAAGAAGAAGAAUAUGUAGUUGGAAAAUAUGCCCUUGCCGUAGAAAGGACUCCAGAGAUCUCCUGACAAAAUUUGACAAGACCAACGACUUCCUCGUUGCAAAUACCUUUUUUCGAUGACAUAAGUGCCGACUAUACACGUGGACCUCACCACGUGGAAAUCACAGGAAUCAAAGCCACUCUUUCUGUGGAAAGAGACCACGGAAAAGCUCAAUGCCAUCAGCCCAAACAAGGCCAGAGGCCAAAGGCAGAUCAGACCGUCAAUUGCUCAUGUGCAAGUUGAAGAUGAAGAAGAUUAAAACAAGUCUAGGAGAGCCAAGCUAGGACCCUGAGUACAUGCCCCCUGAAUUUCAAGGCCACCUCAAGAAUAGAUUCGACGCCUUGGACACCAGUAGCGGAGGACCAGCCAAGUUCUGGGAUGACCUCAAGCACGUCAUAGGUGAAGAAAGCAAAAGGUCAUUCAGAACACAGCAAACAGAGAAAAGAACAAAACGGAUGUCAGAAGAGAUUCUGAAAGUUGCUCUUGAACACGGAGUAGCUAAGGCGAGUGGAGGACAUGACAAACUAAAAGAGCCGAACAGAAGAUUUCAAAGGACGGCAGGAGAAGACAAAGUGUCAGUGAAAUGUGCAAGUAUCUGCAGUUAGAAAACCAAAAGGUGACAAAGGCCCAAAGCCUGUUAAAUGGGGAAAAGACAGUCCCUUUAACAAAUGGUGCUGGCAUAACUGGAUACCCAUCAGCAGAAAAAGGAAGCAAGACCCAUACCUAACACCAUGCACGUACACUAAGUCCAAAUAGACCAAAGACCUAAACAUAAAAUCUAAAACGAAACAGAUCAUGGAAGAAAACAAUAAGGACGACGCUAGGAGCCCUAAUACCUGGCAUAAACAGUAUACAAACAUCACUAACAACCCACAAACACCAGAAGAGACACUAGAUAACGGGGAGCUCCUAAAAAUCGAACAAUUAUGUUCAUCCAAAGACUUCACAAAAAGAGUAAAAAGACUACCUACAGACUGGGAAGAAGUUUUUGGCUAAGGCCAAUCCAAUCAGCGAAUGACCUCUAAAAUCUACACCAUACCGCCAAAACUCAACAAGAAAAAGACAAAUAACCCAAUGAAAAAAUAGGCAAAGGAUAGGAACAGGCGCUUCACCAAGGAAGACAUUCAGGCAGCUAAGAGAUACGUGAGGAAAUGCUCACAAUCAUUAGCCAUCAGAGAAAUGCAAAUCAAAACUACAACAAGAUACCAUCUCACCCCAAGAGGCUGACAUUAACCCAAAAAACAUAAAAUAAUAAAUGUUGGCGAGCUUGUGGAGAGACCGGAACACUGACACACUGCUGGUGGGAAUGUAAAAUGGUCCAAGCACUGCGGAAAUCAAUUUGGCGCUUCCAUAAAAAGCUGCAAAUAGCGCUACCAUACCAUCCUGCAAUACCACAACCUGGAAUGUAACCAGGAGAAAUAAGGGCCCUUGCACGAAUGGAUAUAUGCAUACCCAUGUUCACUGCAGCUCUGUUUACAACGGCAAAAAGAUGGAAGCAACGGAGGUGCCCGUCAAGGGAUGAAUGGGUGAAUAAAUCAUGGCAUAUUCACAUAAUGGAAUACUAUGCAACGACUAAGAACGAGGAAUCCGUGAAACAUCUCAUAACGUGGAGGAAUCUGGAAGGCAUUAUGCUGAGUGAAAUUAGUCAGUUGCAAAAGGAGCAAUGUCGUAUGAGGCCGCUAAUACAAGAACUCAAGAAAAAGUCUGAACACCGAAGAAAAUAUUCCUUGAUGGUUAUGAGGAUGGGGAGGGAGGGAGAGGGGUAUUCACUAAUUAGAUAGUACACAAGACAUAUUUUAGGUGAAGGGAAAGACAACACACAGUACCGGGAAGGUCAGCACAACUGGACUAAAGCAAAAGCUAAGAAGUUUCCCGAAUACAACCAAACGCUCGGAAGGCCAGAGCGCAGGGACAGGGGUCUGGGGACCAUGGUUUCAGGGGACGCACAGCUCAAUCGGCAUAACAAAAUACGUGUUAAGGAAACUUCUCCAUCUCACUUUGGUGAGUGGUGUCUGGGGCCUUAAACGCUGGCAAUCGGACGUCUAAGAUACAUCAAUUGUUCUCAACCCACCUGGAACAAAGGAGGACGAAGAACAGCGGAGACACAAGGUAAAUAUGAGCCCAGGAGACAGAGAGGACCACAUAACCAGAGACUCCAUCAGCCGGAGACUGGAAGAACUAGAUGGUGCCCGGCUACCACCGAGGACUCCCCCGAGAGGGAACACACCGGCGAAUCCCUGAUGGAGCAGGAGAACAGUGGGGUGCACACCUCGAACUCUUGUAGAAAGACCAGGCUUAAUGGUCUGACUGAGACUGGGGGGACCCCAGAUGUCAUGGCCCCAGGACCCUCUGUUAGCCCAAGACAGGAAACAUUCCCAAAGCCAACUCUUCAGGCAGGGAUUGGACUGGACUCUAAGACAGAAAAUGAUGCUGGUGAGGAGUUAGCUUCCUGGCUGAAGUAGACCCAGGAGACUAUUGGGGCAAAGACAGAGGGGGACAGGGGCUGGUUGAAUGCAUGCGGGGAAUACAGGGAGGAGAGGAGGAGUGUGCUGUCACAUUAGAGGGAGAGCGGCUAGGGUUCCACAGCAAGGUGUGCAUACAUUUUUGUAUGAGACACUGACUUGAAUUGUAAACUUUCACUUCAAACACAGGAAAUAAAUAGAAAGAGAAAGAACGAAAACCAAAAGAAAGGAAGAAACCAGGCAUUUUUCCAGAUGAAAGAGCUGAGGAAAAAAUUCAAGCAUCGAGUUGCAAUUUUGAAGGAUUCUAUGGGCAAGAUGUUGAACGAUAGAGACAGCAUUAAAAGAAGAUGGAAGAGAUACACAGAGUCACUGUAUCAAAAAGAACUGGUCGACUUUCAAGCAUUUCAGGAGGUGGCGAAUCAUAAUGAGCCGAAAGCACUGAAGGAAGAAGUCCAAGCUGCACUGAACCCAUUGGUGAAAUCCAAGCCUCCACGAGUUGACAGAAUACCGACUGAGAUGUUUCAACGAAAGGAUGCAGCGCUAGAGGUGCUCCCUCAUCUCUGCCAAGAAACUUGGAACACAGCUCUCUGGCCAACCAACUGCAAGAGAUCCACAUUUGUGCCCGUGCCAGAGAAAGGCGAUCCAACAGAAUGCAGAAAUUAUCCAUCGAUAUCAUUAAUAUCUCAUCCAAAUAAAAUUUGCUGAAAAAAUUAAUAAAACAGUUGCAGCACCACAGGGACAAGGAACUGCCAGAAGUUGGAGUUGGAUUCAGAAGAGGGCGAGGAAUGAGGGAUAUCAUUGCUGAUGUCAGAGGAUCUUGGCUGAAAGCAGAGAAUAUCAGAAAGGUAUUUGCGGGUGUUUCGUUGGCUAUGCAGAUGCAUUUGAGUGUGCGGAUCAUAACAAAUUAUGCUUAACCUUGCGAAGAACGGGAACUCCAGGACACUUAAUUUUGCUCCUGUAGAACCUGCACCUACAACAAGAGGCAGUCAUUCAAACACAACAACAGCAUACUUCUGUGGUUCGACGUCCGGCAAGGUGUGUACCACGGUUGUAUCGGUUCACCAUACUUAUUCAAUCUGUAUGCGGAGCAAAUGACCCCAGAAGCUGGAAGAUAUGACGAAGAGCUUGGCAUCAGGAUCGGUGGAAGAUUCAUUACCAACCUGCGAUAUGUAGAUGGCACAAGCUUGUUUGCUGAAAUCAAAAAGACUGGAAGCAAUUACUCAUGAACAUCAGUAUGGAUUCCACCGCGACAAUAAUAAAAAAAAAAAGAGAGAGAGAGAGAGAGAGAGAACUCACAACAGGACCAAUAAGCAACAUGAUGAUAAACGGAGAAAAUAUUGAAGAUGUCCAGGAUUUCUGUUUACUUGGCUGCACGGUCAUCCCUCACAGAAGCAGUAAUCACGAAAUCCAAGGACGUAUUGCACUGGGCAAAUUUACUGCAAAAGACCUCUUUGAAGUGUUGAAAACAAAGGCAUCGCUUAGAGGACAAUGGUGCACCUCACCCAAGGAAUGAUCUUUUCAAUAGCCUCCUGUGCACGCCAAACCUGGAGAAUGAAUAACGAAGACGGAAGAAGAAUUGACGCCUUUCAAUUACGAUUCUGGCAAACAAUACUGAAUAUACCGUGCUGGUACACUGCUUACGCCUUCGCUGCUACCCAAAAGAUUGGCAGAUGAAAUCCAUCAGCUGCUCCUUGGAAACCCUAUGGGUCGGUUCUACUCUGACCUUUCAUAGUUUUGCCAUGGGCGGGAAUGGAUGGGCAGCGAUGGGUUUGGUUGGCCAGAAGAACCAACCAGUCCGCCUUGGAGGAAGCAGAGCCAGUGUACUCCUUGGAAGCAAGGAGGAGGAGACUUUGUCUCACAUACUUUGGACAUGUUAUCAGGAGGGACUGGAAAAGGACAUCCCGCUUGGUAAGGUAGAGGGUCAGCGAAAAAGAGGAAGGCCCUCCAUGAGAUGGAUUGACACGGUGGCUACACAAUAAGCUCAAACAUAGCAAGGACCGUGGGAUGGCGCAAGACUGGACAGUGUUUGGAUCUGUUGUACAAGGGUUGUGAUGCUUUGCAACUGACUGGACAGCCCCUAAUAACAGCUGCGGCCUCUACGGAAGAUGGCUGCAACAUCUUUCCCCGAAGAGCAGCUGGUGGGCUCCAACCACGGACCUUUCAGUUAACCGCUUUCCCACAAGAGCUCCCCUACAAAGAUGACAGCCAGGAAAGAUCUAUGGGGCAUGCCUACCCUGUAACUCAUGGGGUCUCCGUGGCACAAUACAAUAACCAGCUGCCAUCCAGUAGAUUCCGCCUCAUAGAGACCAAGAGGACAGAGUAGAAGUGCCCCAUAGGGCUUCCCAGGCUCUAAAUCCUUACGGAAACCCGCCGUCCUAUCUUUCUCCCGUGGACGGGCCUGGUGGAUUCCGAUCGCUGAACCACUGCCACCGCCGGGGCUCUUUGCAAAAUACUACUUUUUUUCCCCUCUUUUCUUUUUUAUUGUGCUUUAAGUGAAAGUUUACAAACCAAGUCAGUCUCUCAUACAAAAAUUUGUACACCUUGCUAUAUAUAUUCCUAGUUGCUCUCCCCCUAAUGAGACAGCACACUCUUUCUCUCCAAUCUCUAUUUUCUGCUCCAUUCGGCCAGCUUCUGACCCACUCUGCCCUCUCAUCUCCCAUCCAGACAGGAGCUGCCCACAUUGCCUCAUGUGUCUCCUUGAUCCAAGAAGCUCACUCUUCACCAGUAUCAUUUUCUAUUUCAUAGUCCAGUCCAGUCCGUUUCUAAAGAUUUGGCUUUGGGAAUGGUUCCAAUCUGGGGCUAACAGAAGGUCUGGGGACCAUGACCUCCGGGGUCCUUCUAAUCUCAGUCGGACCGUUAAGUCUGGUCAUUUUCGGGGAAUUUGAGGUCUGCAUCCCACUGCUCUCCUUCUCCCUCAGGGGUUCUCUGUUGUUCUCUGUCAGGACAGUCACCGUUUUUAGCCAGGCAUCAUCGAGUUCUUUUGGUCUCAGGCUGAUGGAGUCUCUGGUUUAUGUGGCCCUUUCUGCCUCUUGGGCUCACAUUUACCGUGUGUCUUUGGUGUUCUUCAUUCUCCUUACUCCAUCCGGGUGGUUGAGACCAAUGGAUGCAUCUUAGCUGGCCACUUGCUAGCAUUUAAGACCCCGGAUGCCACUCUCCAAAGUGGGAUGCAGAAUGUUUUCUUAAUAGGUUUUAUUAUGCCAAUUGACGUUGAUGUCCCCUUAAAUCAUGAUCCCGCGCUGUACUGUUGUUACAAAGUAACAAACAAAAAAAGGAGUUGCCUCCACUACUGUCCCAGACUCAUAGGGACCCUACAGGACAAAGUAGGAAUGGCCCACAUGGUUUGUCAAGGGGCAGCUGGUUGAUUCCAACUGCUGCCCUUCCAGCAGCAGCCAAGCACUUAACCACUGCGCCACCAGGGCUCCUGGCCUUAUACUACAGACGCCAUUUGGGGGUUUCGGUUUGUCUGUUUGCUCUAAGUAGUAACCAAAGUGUGUGGAAGUGGCCCACACUCAAACGGUAGCGGGCAUUCAACUCCCCCUGCUCACUCACUCCCCUUCCCGGAUCCCCUGGGCUCUUUCUACCGGCAGAUCAUUCCCGCUCCAAAUCCCCGCCUGCCUGUGCCUGGCCCCUUCUCCUCGCCCCACGUUCCUAUUCUGCCACUGCUCUCAGCGUCCGCAACUGCCAUUUACAAACGAAGGCUGCGGGCUCUAGCCACCUUGCAGGCUCCGGGGACGGAGAUUUCCGGAGACCAGGACGCAGAUUUUGCGCUUCUAAAGCGUUCCCAGGACUUGGGAAAUCUGUCAGGCCUGAAUCCACGCUCUGAGAGCAAGUUCCACCCAUCUCUCCGUGGCCCGAAGCGGCACGGUGGAAAUCGCCACCGGCCCUCGCUCUGGAAACAGCCCCUCCUCGGUUGGGCCCCUUCCGGCCCCGCCCCUUAUCCCACACGCUUCCUAGAGGCUGCACUUUCAGAACCCCGGGCUUCUCCGACACCACCGCUUGACAGCGCGAGAGGUCGCUAACUCGCCUCUCUUCGCAAAGUGUUGUGAAUUUCAAUUCUAAAAGCGCCGAAAAACUAUAUUCAGUGUGCUUGAUCACUGUACAGUGUUUCCACAAAGUUGGACCUCUGGACGCUCCCCCAGCACUGCGGGAGGACCCUCCUUGCUUCUGGCCUCUGCGAUAUUAAAGGCCAUCUCACUUCCUGGUUGCCUGGAGGCCCAGAGGGUGGUGAGCCCCGGAUUGAAGGCGCCACUGGGCGGCGCGGGGCGCCGCUGGGGCUCUCCUGCCUGGCCAGCAUCACUUCCUGUUGAGGGGGAGGAGCAGAUCUAAGAAAGUCAGACUUGCUGUCUGCCUGACGCCCUUGCCUGGACUAAAGCCCACCGACACAGGCGUUACACUCUCCAAGGAUUGCGUUUAUACUAGACGAGGCCAUGGAAACACUAAGGGAUAUCGUGGCUCGCCUUCUCCUUGAGAUCCUCAGUGAAUUUCUUGCGGAGAAGAUAGAGAUCAAUAUAAGAGAGCAAGUAAGGGCAGAGUCAGAUGACCAGCGGAUGGGUUUCUUGGACCGCAUGGUUGCCCCUCUAAUGAAGAAGGUUUUUCAGUUGGUACUGGAGAAGACGGCUCCAGUGCUAUUCAACAGCUUUAUUGUGAAACCAUGGAAAUACGUCAUCACCUACGUUGUGAAAAAGAGGAUGCAUCCUGAACCAAUACAUGUGACGAUAGUUUAAUUACCAGUAUCCACGGCGCAGUCGAAGCUUGGAAUACUACAAGCAAUCCACGUGGCUUCAACGCUAAGUAAAAGCACCGCAAGAUGGCCUUUUUCUGGCGGAAGGGGAGAUUUCGGUGUUCGCUGACUACCUGGCUGGCCAGUGGUGAGGAUAUUUCUGUCCUCAGCUCUUGGCUCUGCUCGGCUCUGCUCGGCUCUACUCUGCUCUACUCUACUCUACACUACACUACCCUACAGUACUCUAUUGUCCUCGCCUCUACAGUAGUCUAGUCUGUUGACAAAACCGUGAAUAGGAUGGAGAAGAGAGAUGCUAAGGGGGAUCGUGAGUGCAUUUUUCGAGGAUCACAUGGGUGUCGCUCUAACGAAAAAGUUAAUGACAAGGUCCACAGAACCAGUUGAUGUCGUUCUGAGACCAGAUGUCUAUGUCGCUAAUGGAGAUGAUUCUUAUAUUAGUUCUGGGCAACCAGUUCCUCCUGGAACGUUUCAAAACAUCAUCACGUUUUUUUUUUUUUUUUGUGAAAAAGAUGAUGCGUAGAAGCCAACCGUUGGGAUUGUGUAUCGCACAGGCGUUUAACCGCCAGAUCGUCGAGAGAUCGUUCUAAAGUAACAUCGUAUAUUCUGGGAGACUGCUCCCAUCCUAUAUUAGCAGCUCGUCAUGUCACCUUCAACAAACAGCAUCACACAUCUCGUUAAGAAGAUGAUGUGCUCAGCCAGCUUGUGGGGUUGCAGUUUAAUUACGAGUUAUCGUUUGCGGACAUAUCUAAACGGGCAGAUCAACGAGAAAACUUUAAAAAACAGCAUCGAAUAUCUUUUUUAAGAGAUGAUGCUUCGGAGACUAACAGCAAUGAUUGACGCAGAAAUAUGAAGUAUAAACCGGCACGAUACGAUAGCCAUAUAUUGGUGGACGAGAUGCCCUGUCUUUGCUUCCUCAGCAGUUACUCCCCGCUCCUAUCAGCAACAACUGGAGGGACAUUUCUGUUCUCAACCCUUUGCUAUGCUCAUUUUGCCAAAUCUGAAUGCCUGACGAAGAAUAGAGUUUUGAAAUGCAGCAAAUAAAUACACGGAUUUAUCUUUAGUACAUGACAUGGAGUCUCCUGGCCUGAUUUUGUGCUGAUUUCCUUCUCCACUUUGGCUCUGGGUCUCUCUUCUGAACCAUUAGGGAUGGAGGGGGCUGAGAUUGUGGGGAUACACCGUUGAGGGAGAAAGUGUGUGUGGAGUGGGCUGACCAUGAAUGGGGGAGUUUCAGACUGGAAUUAAGAGUUCUGGGGGGAGCACUGAGAACCUGUUGUGUCAGGAAGGGAUGCCGAAGGUUGGGGGGCGGUUCUUAAGAAAGCUCGACGGUUACAGGGUGCAUUUCCUGCUUUGAAGGGAGUUUAGAAAAGGAGGACUAGAGGAACGAUGGCAUCCCUGAUGUCUUCCGUGGGAAAACAGGCACAGGAGAGGCAACAUUGCAGAGGUAAACAUUGCGGGCAGAUGAUGCUGCAGGUGAUAAAAAUUCUGUAGCAAGAGGAACCACUGGAUGGGUUAAGAGAGACCUGACCGGGGGUAGGUGAAAGUGGUCGAGAUCAAUCCAAGUGGAAGGCACACAGCUCCUCUUCCAGGGACCUCUGUGUACAUGGACAGCCUGCAGUGCUCUGGCUCUUUUCUCUCCUGACUCAGAGAAAUCAUCCCAUUACCAACAUCUAUGACAGAAACCACUGUAGCCUGUCAGUGGAGAACAAAUGGAGAGAGAAGCACACUUGAUGGGCCCUUUUUUCUCAGUGGCGUUCAGCUGCACAGAGAGACCACCAGUCUACCACCAGUUGCCACAGAACCGACUCUGACUCCUGGAGACCCCAUGUUUUAGAAGUAGAUCCCCAGGCCUUUCUUCACAGGUGCCUCUGGCUGGACAUGAACUUCCAGCCUUGCAGUUUACAGCCCAGCCUUCGGCCAUUUGCACCACCAGGGGCUCGACAGAGACAGGCAGUUCCUCUCACAAUACUGUCUUUUCCUGUCAUGUGGCUGGAAGAACAGGGCACUGACAAGUUCCUUGGAGGUUAAAAAUCUUUAAAACUGGAUUCAUCUGUGCACCCUGGCUUCAAUAUGCAAAUAGAAACCUGUGGUUGGUUUAACACAGAACCGACCUCUGGUGGGGCAAAUCUCUACUGAAUAGCCAUGUUUGGUUUCUACUCGAAGUAGCACAUUAAAUGCUGAAAGAAAAAAAAAAUCCUAUAGCGUUAGAGUCAUUUCCGACUCAUAGCGACCCUAUAGGACAGAGAAGAACUCCCCCAUAGGAUUUCCAAAGCUGUGAACUGUAAUUCCACCGUCAAGAAAGAUGUGCCGGCGGCAGAGCACGGCCUGUGCUCUCGAGGUCCCUGGGCUGUGAAGCCCCUAGACCAGGGCCAGUUUGUUGACAAGGACCUGCCCCCAGCGAUGAUACAGACGGAAAGCCUUCUCCUGGAUCUGGCGCCUUGAAUCCAGACUCCUAGCCAGCAUGCAUCUUAACGUUUGUGCCACUGUGGUGGCUUGCAUUUUCUCGUGAUACUGGAAGCUAUGCCACCACUAUUUCAAGUACCAGAGGACUCACCCAUGGUGGACAGGAUUCAGCGGGGCAUCCAGACUAACACAGGCUGAAAAGAAAGACCUGGCAGUUUAUUCUGAGAAGACUGGCCAGGAAAAAUCUUGUGAAUAACAGAGGAACAUUGUCGGAUAUGUUGCCAUAAAAGGAACCCAUCGGGUUGGAAGACACUCAAAACAACACUGGGGAAGAGCUUCCUAAUCAUUGAACCAAACCAACCAACCAACCAAACAAACAAAAAACCCAUUGCCUUGGGGUCGGUUGUGAUUCAUAGCAACCCUAUAGGACACAGCAGAGCUACCCCAUAGGGUUUCCAAGGAGCACCUGGUGGAUUCAAACUGAGGACCUUUUGGUUAGCAGCCAUAGCACUUAACCACUAUGCCAUCGGGGUUUCCACUCAAAGGACAGUCGACGUUAAUGAUGUAGAUGGGGUCAAGAUUUCAAGAGCUUCAUUUGCUCUUGUGGCACAACACAAAAUGAGAAAAAACCCUGCAAACCCCCUUAAUAGUCAGAGUAGGGAAUGUACUGAGUAUGAGUCUAGGAAAAUUGGAACUGGGAAGAAAUGAAAAGGAUCACAUAAAGGUGGAUAGCCUACACAUCAAUGAGAUCCAAUGGACCAGUGUUGGCCGUUUUGAGUCAGACGAUCACGUGUUCUACUAUGCCAGGAAUGACAACUUGAAGAGGAAUGGCGUUGCUUUCAUUGCCAAAAGGGGCAAUUCAAGAUCUAUCCCGAAGUGCAGAGCUGUUAGGGAGAGGAAGAUAUCCACACGCUUACAAGGAAGACCAGUUAAAAGGACUGUGAUUCAAAUUUACACACCAAGCACCAAUGCCAAAGCUGAAGAAAUUGAAGAUUUUUACCAACUUGUGCAGUCUGAAAUUGAUCCACAUGCAAUUAAGAUGCAUCGAUAAUGACUGGUGGCUAGGAUGCAAAGCUGGAAAUAAAGAAGAAGAAGAAUAUGUAGUUGGAAAAUACGCCCUUGCCGUAGAAAGGACUCCAGAGAUCUCCUGACAAAAUUUGACAAGACCAACGACUUCCUCGUUGCAAGUACCUUUUUCGAUGACAUAAGUGCCGACUAUACACGUGGACCUCACCACGUGAAAAUCACAGGAAUCAAAGCCACUCUUUCUGUGGAAAGAGACCACGGAAAAGCUCAAUACCAUCAGCCCAAACAAGGCCAGAGGCCAAAGGCAGAUCAGACCGUCAAUUGCUCAUGUGCAAGUUGAAGAUGAAGAAGAUUAAAACAAGUCUAGGAGAGCCAAGCUAGGACCCUGAGUACAUGCCCCCUGAAUUUCAAGACCACCUCAAGAAUAGAUUCGACGCCUUGGACACCAAUAGCGGAGGACCAGCCAAGUUCUGGGAUGACCUCAAGCACGUCAUAGGUGAAGAAAGCAAAAGGUCAUUCAGAACACAGCAAACAGAGAAAAGAACAAAACGGAUGUCAGAAGAGAUUCUGAAAGUUGCUCUUGAACACGGAGUAGCUAAGGCGAGCGGAGGACAUGACGAACUAAAAGAGCCGAACAGAAGAUUUCAAAGGACGGCAGGAGAAGACAAAGUGUCAGUGAAAUGUGUAAGUAUCUGCAGUUAGAAAACCAAAAGGUGACAAAGGCCCAAAGCCUGUUAAAUGGGGAAAAGACAGUCCCUUUAACAAAUGGUGCUGGCAUAACUGGAUACCCAUCAGCAGAAAAAGGAAGCAAGACCCAUACCUAACACCAUGCACGUACACUAAGUCCAAAUAGACCAAAGACCUAAACAUAAAAUCUAAAACGAAACAGAUCAUGGAAGAAAACAAUAAGGACGACGCUAGGAGCCCUAAUACCUGGCAUAAACAGUAUACAAACAUCACUAACAACCCACAAACACCAGAAGAGACACUAGAUAACGGGGAGCUCCUAAAAAUCGAACAAUUAUGUUCAUCCAAAGACUUCACAAAAAGAGUAAAAAGACUACCUACAGACUGGGAAGAAGUUUUUGGCUAAGGCCAAUCCAAUCAGCGAAUGACCUCUAAAAUCUACACCAUACCGCCAAAACUCAACAAGAAAAAGACAAAUAACCCAAUGAAAAAAUAGGCAAAGGAUAGGAACAGGCGCUUCACCAAGGAAGACAUUCAGGCAGCUAAGAGAUACGUGAGGAAAUGCUCACAAUCAUUAGCCAUCAGAGAAAUGCAAAUCAAAACUACAACGAGAUACCAUCUCACCCCAAGAGGCUGACAUUAACCCAAAAAACAUAAAAUAAUAAAUGUUGGCGAGCUUGUGGAGAGACCGGAACACUGACACACUGCUGGUGGGAAUGUAAAAUGGUCCAAGCACUGCGGAAAUCAAUUUGGCGCUUCCAUAAAAAGCUGCAAAUAGCGCUACCAUACCAUCCUGCAAUACCACAACCUGGAAUGUAACCAGGAGAAAUAAGGGCCCUUGCACGAAUGGAUAUAUGCAUACCCAUGUUCACUGCAGCUCUGUUUACAACGGCAAAAAGAUGGAAGCAACGGAGGUGCCCGUCAAGGGAUGAAUGGGUGAAUAAAUCAUGGCAUAUUCACAUAAUGGAAUACUAUGCAACGACUAAGAACGAGGAAUCCGUGAAACAUCUCAUAACGUGGAGGAAUCUGGAAGGCAUUAUGCUGAGUGAAAUUAGUCAGUUGCAAAAGGAGCAAUGUCGUAUGAGGCCGCUAAUACAAGAACUCAAGAAAAAGUCUGAACACCGAAGAAAAUAUUCCUUGAUGGUUAUGAGGAUGGGGAGGGAGGGAGAGGGGUAUUCACUAAUUAGAUAGUACACAAGACAUAUUUUAGGUGAAGGGAAAGACAACACACAGUACCGGGAAGGUCAGCACAACUGGACUAAAGCAAAAGCUAAGAAGUUUCCCGAAUACAACCAAACGCUCGGAAGGCCAGAGCGCAGGGACAGGGGUCUGGGGACCAUGGUUUCAGGGGACGCACAGCUCAAUCGGCAUAACAAAAUACGUGUUAAGGAAACUUCUCCAUCUCACUUUGGUGAGUGGUGUCUGGGGCCUUAAACGCUGGCAAUCGGACGUCUAAGAUACAUCAAUUGUUCUCAACCCACCUGGAACAAAGGAGGACGAAGAACAGCGGAGACACAAGGUAAAUAUGAGCCCAGGAGACAGAGAGGACCACAUAACCAGAGACUCCAUCAGCCGGAGACUGGAAGAACUAGAUGGUGCCCGGCUACCACCGAGGACUCCCCCGAGAGGGAACACACCGGCGAAUCCCUGAUGGAGCAGGAGAACAGUGGGGUGCACACCUCGAACUCUUGUAGAAAGACCAGGCUUAAUGGUCUGACUGAGACUGGGGGGACCCCAGAUGUCAUGGCCCCAGGACCCUCUGUUAGCCCAAGACAGGAAACAUUCCCAAAGCCAACUCUUCAGGCAGGGAUUGGACUGGACUCUAAGACAGAAAAUGAUGCUGGUGAGGAGUGAGCUUCCUGGCUGAAGUAGACCCAGGAGACUAUUGGGGCAAAGACAGAGGGGGACAGGGGCUGGUUGAAUGCAUGCGGGGAAUACAGGGAGGAGAGGAGGAGUGUGCUGUCACAUUAGAGGGAGAGCGGCUAGGGUUCCACAGCAAGGUGUGCAUACAUUUUUGUAUGAGACACUGACUUGAAUUGUAAACUUUCACUUCAAACACAGGAAAUAAAUAGAAAGAGAAAGAACGAAAACCAAAAGAAAGGAAGAAACCAGGCAUUUUUCCAGAUGAAAGAGCUGAGGAAAAAAUUCAAGCAUCGAGUUGCAAUUUUGAAGGAUUCUAUGGGCAAGAUGUUGAACGAUAGAGACAGCAUUAAAAGAAGAUGGAAGAGAUACACAGAGUCACUGUAUCAAAAAGAACUGGUCGACUUUCAAGCAUUUCAGGAGGUGGCGAAUCAUAAUGAGCCGAAAGCACUGAAGGAAGAAGUCCAAGCUGCACUGAACCCAUUGGUGAAAUCCAAGCCUCCACGAGUUGACAGAAUACCGACUGAGAUGUUUCAACGAAAGGAUGCAGCGCUAGAGGUGCUCCCUCAUCUCUGCCAAGAAACUUGGAACACAGCUCUCUGGCCAACCAACUGCAAGAGAUCCACAUUUGUGCCCGUGCCAGAGAAAGGCGAUCCAACAGAAUGCAGAAAUUAUCCAUCGAUAUCAUUAAUAUCUCAUCCAAAUAAAAUUUGCUGAAAAAAUUAAUAAAACAGUUGCAGCACCACAGGGACAAGGAACUGCCAGAAGUUGGAGUUGGAUUCAGAAGAGGGCGAGGAAUGAGGGAUAUCAUUGCUGAUGUCAGAGGAUCUUGGCUGAAAGCAGAGAAUAUCAGAAAGGUAUUUGCGGGUGUUUCGUUGGCUAUGCAGAUGCAUUUGAGUGUGCGGAUCAUAACAAAUUAUGCUUAACCUUGCGAAGAACGGGAACUCCAGGACACUUAAUUUUGCUCCUGUAGAACCUGCACCUACAACAAGAGGCAGUCAUUCAAACACAACAACAGCAUACUUCUGUGGUUCGACGUCCGGCAAGGUGUGUACCACGGUUGUAUCGGUUCACCAUACUUAUUCAAUCUGUAUGCGGAGCAAAUGACCCCAGAAGCUGGAAGAUAUGACGAAGAGCUUGGCAUCAGGAUCGGUGGAAGAUUCAUUACCAACCUGCGAUAUGUAGAUGGCACAAGCUUGUUUGCUGAAAUCAAAAAGACUGGAAGCAAUUACUCAUGAACAUCAGUAUGGAUUCCACCGCGACAAUAAUAAAAAAAAAAAGAGAGAGAGAGAGAGAGAGAGAACUCACAACAGGACCAAUAAGCAACAUGAUGAUAAACGGAGAAAAUAUUGAAGAUGUCCAGGAUUUCUGUUUACUUGGCUGCACGGUCAUCCCUCACAGAAGCAGUAAUCACGAAAUCCAAGGACGUAUUGCACUGGGCAAAUUUACUGCAAAAGACCUCUUUGAAGUGUUGAAAACAAAGGCAUCGCUUAGAGGACAAUGGUGCACCUCACCCAAGGAAUGAUCUUUUCAAUAGCCUCCUGUGCACGCCAAACCUGGAGAAUGAAUAACGAAGACGGAAGAAGAAUUGACGCCUUUCAAUUACGAUUCUGGCAAACAAUACUGAAUAUACCGUGCUGGUACACUGCUUACGCCUUCGCUGCUACCCAAAAGAUUGGCAGAUGAAAUCCAUCAGCUGCUCCUUGGAAACCCUAUGGGUCGGUUCUACUCUGACCUUUCAUAGUUUUGCCAUGGGCGGGAAUGGAUGGGCAGCGAUGGGUUUGGUUGGCCAGAAGAACCAACCAGUCCGCCUUGGAGGAAGCAGAGCCAGUGUACUCCUUGGAAGCAAGGAGGAGGAGACUUUGUCUCACAUACUUUGGACAUGUUAUCAGGAGGGACUGGAAAAGGACAUCCCGCUUGGUAAGGUAGAGGGUCAGCGAAAAAGAGGAAGGCCCUCCAUGAGAUGGAUUGACACGGUGGCUACACAAUAAGCUCAAACAUAGCAAGGACCGUGGGAUGGCGCAAGACUGGACAGUGUUUGGAUCUGUUGUACAAGGGUUGUGAUGCUUUGCAACUGACUGGACAGCCCCUAAUAACAGCUGCGGCCUCUACGGAAGAUGGCUGCAACAUCUUUCCGCGAAGAGCAGCUGGUGGGCUCCAACCACGGACCUUUCAGUUAACCGCUUUCCCACAAGAGCUCCCCUACAAAGAUGACAGCCAGGAAAGAUCUAUGGGGCAUGCCUACCCUGUAACUCAUGGGGUCUCCGUGGCACAAUACAAUAACCAGCUGCCAUCCAGUAGAUUCCGCCUCAUAGAGACCAAGAGGACAGAGUAGAAGUGCCCCAUAGGGCUUCCCAGGCUCUAAAUCCUUACGGAAACCCGCCGUCCUAUCUUUCUCCCGUGGACGGGCCUGGUGGAUUCCGAUCGCUGAACCACUGCCACCGCCGGGGCUCUUUGCAAAAUACUACUUUUUUUCCCCUCUUUUCUUUUUUAUUGUGCUUUAAGUGAAAGUUUACAAACCAAGUCAGUCUCUCAUACAAAAAUUUGUACACCUUGCUAUAUAUAUUCCUAGUUGCUCUCCCCCUAAUGAGACAGCACACUCUUUCUCUCCAAUCUCUAUUUUCUGCUCCAUUCGGCCAGCUUCUGACCCACUCUGCCCUCUCAUCUCCCAUCCAGACAGGAGCUGCCCACAUUGCCUCAUGUGUCUCCUUGAUCCAAGAAGCUCACUCUUCACCAGUAUCAUUUUCUAUUUCAUAGUCCAGUCCAGUCCGUUUCUAAAGAUUUGGCUUUGGGAAUGGUUCCAAUCUGGGGCUAACAGAAGGUCUGGGGACCAUGACCUCCGGGGUCCUUCUAAUCUCAGUCGGACCGUUAAGUCUGGUCAUUUUCGGGGAAUUUGAGGUCUGCAUCCCACUGCUCUCCUUCUCCCUCAGGGGUUCUCUGUUGUUCUCUGUCAGGACAGUCACCGUUUUUAGCCAGGCAUCAUCGAGUUCUUUUGGUCUCAGGCUGAUGGAGUCUCUGGUUUAUGUGGCCCUUUCUGCCUCUUGGGCUCACAUUUACCGUGUGUCUUUGGUGUUCUUCAUUCUCCUUACUCCAUCCGGGUGGUUGAGACCAAUGGAUGCAUCUUAGCUGGCCACUUGCUAGCAUUUAAGACCCCGGAUGCCACUCUCCAAAGUGGGAUGCAGAAUGUUUUCUUAAUAGGUUUUAUUAUGCCAAUUGACGUUGAUGUCCCCUUAAAUCAUGAUCCCGCGCUGUACUGUUGUUACAAAGUAACAAACAAAAAAAGGAGUUGCCUCCACUACUGUCCCAGACUCAUAGGGACCCUACAGGACAAAGUAGGAAUGGCCCACAUGGUUUGUCAAGGGGCAGCUGGUUGAUUCCAACUGCUGCCCUUCCAGCAGCAGCCAAGCACUUAACCACUGCGCCACCAGGGCUCCUGGCCUUAUACUACAGACGCCAUUUGGGGGUUUCGGUUUGUCUGUUUGCUCUAAGUAGUAACCAAAGUGUGUGGAAGUGGCCCACACUCAAACGGUAGCGGGCAUUCAACUCCCCCUGCUCACUCACUCCCCUUCCCGGAUCCCCUGGGCUCUUUCUACCGGCAGAUCAUUCCCGCUCCAAAUCCCCGCCUGCCUGUGCCUGGCCCCUUCUCCUCGCCCCACGUUCCUAUUCUGCCACUGCUCUCAGCGUCCGCAACUGCCAUUUACAAACGAAGGCUGCGGGCUCUAGCCACCUUGCAGGCUCCGGGGACGGAGAUUUCCGGAGACCAGGACGCAGAUUUUGCGCUUCUAAAGCGUUCCCAGGACUUGGGAAAUCUGUCAGGCCUGAAUCCACGCUCUGAGAGCAAGUUCCACCCAUCUCUCCGUGGCCCGAAGCGGCACGGUGGAAAUCGCCACCGGCCCUCGCUCUGGAAACAGCCCCUCCUCGGUUGGGCCCCUUCCGGCCCCGCCCCUUAUCCCACACGCUUCCUAGAGGCUGCACUUUCAGAACCCCGGGCUUCUCCGACACCACCGCUUGACAGCGCGAGAGGUCGCUAACUCGCCUCUCUUCGCAAAGUGUUGUGAAUUUCAAUUCUAAAAGCGCCGAAAAACUAUAUUCAGUGUGCUUGAUCACUGUACAGUGUUUCCACAAAGUUGGACCUCUGGACGCUCCCCCAGCACUGCGGGAGGACCCUCCUUGCUUCUGGCCUCUGCGAUAUUAAAGGCCAUCUCACUUCCUGGUUGCCUGGAGGCCCAGAGGGUGGUGAGCCCCGGAUUGAAGGCGCCACUGGGCGGCGCGGGGCGCCGCUGGGGCUCUCCUGCCUGGCCAGCAUCACUUCCUGUUGAGGGGGAGGAGCAGAUCUAAGAAAGUCAGACUUGCUGUCUGCCUGACGCCCUUGCCUGGACUAAAGCCCACCGACACAGGCGUUACACUCUCCAAGGAUUGCGUUUAUACUAGACGAGGCCAUGGAAACACUAAGGGAUAUCGUGGCUCGCCUUCUCCUUGAGAUCCUCAGUGAAUUUCUUGCGGAGAAGAUAGAGAUCAAUAUAAGAGAGCAAGUAAGGGCAGAGUCAGAUGACCAGCGGAUGGGUUUCUUGGACCGCAUGGUUGCCCCUCUAAUGAAGAAGGUUUUUCAGUUGGUACUGGAGAAGACGGCUCCAGUGCUAUUCAACAGCUUUAUUGUGAAACCAUGGAAAUACGUCAUCACCUACGUUGUGAAAAAGAGGAUGCAUCCUGAACCAAUACAUGUGACGAUAGUUUAAUUACCAGUAUCCACGGCGCAGUCGAAGCUUGGAAUACUACAAGCAAUCCACGUGGCUUCAACGCUAAGUAAAAGCACCGCAAGAUGGCCUUUUUCUGGCGGAAGGGGAGAUUUCGGUGUUCGCUGACUACCUGGCUGGCCAGUGGUGAGGAUAUUUCUGUCCUCAGCUCUUGGCUCUGCUCGGCUCUGCUCGGCUCUACUCUGCUCUACUCUACUCUACACUACACUACCCUACAGUACUCUAUUGUCCUCGCCUCUACAGUAGUCUAGUCUGUUGACAAAACCGUGAAUAGGAUGGAGAAGAGAGAUGCUAAGGGGGAUCGUGAGUGCAUUUUUCGAGGAUCACAUGGGUGUCGCUCUAACGAAAAAGUUAAUGACAAGGUCCACAGAACCAGUUGAUGUCGUUCUGAGACCAGAUGUCUAUGUCGCUAAUGGAGAUGAUUCUUAUAUUAGUUCUGGGCAACCAGUUCCUCCUGGAACGUUUCAAAACAUCAUCACGUUUUUUUUUUUUUUUUGUGAAAAAGAUGAUGCGUAGAAGCCAACCGUUGGGAUUGUGUAUCGCACAGGCGUUUAACCGCCAGAUCGUCGAGAGAUCGUUCUAAAGUAACAUCGUAUAUUCUGGGAGACUGCUCCCAUCCUAUAUUAGCAGCUCGUCAUGUCACCUUCAACAAACAGCAUCACACAUCUCGUUAAGAAGAUGAUGUGCUCAGCCAGCUUGUGGGGUUGCAGUUUAAUUACGAGUUAUCGUUUGCGGACAUAUCUAAACGGGCAGAUCAACGAGAAAACUUUAAAAAACAGCAUCGAAUAUCUUUUUUAAGAGAUGAUGCUUCGGAGACUAACAGCAAUGAUUGACGCAGAAAUAUGAAGUAUAAACCGGCACGAUACGAUAGCCAUAUAUUGGUGGACGAGAUGCCCUGUCUUUGCUUCCUCAGCAGUUACUCCCCGCUCCUAUCAGCAACAACUGGAGGGACAUUUCUGUUCUCAACCCUUUGCUAUGCUCAUUUUGCCAAAUCUGAAUGCCUGACGAAGAAUAGAGUUUUGAAAUGCAGCAAAUAAAUACACGGAUUUAUCUUUAGUACAUGACAUGGAGUCUCCUGGCCUGAUUUUGUGCUGAUUUCCUUCUCCACUUUGGCUCUGGGUCUCUCUUCUGAACCAUUAGGGAUGGAGGGGGCUGAGAUUGUGGGGAUACACCGUUGAGGGAGAAAGUGUGUGUGGAGUGGGCUGACCAUGAAUGGGGGAGUUUCAGACUGGAAUUAAGAGUUCUGGGGGGAGCACUGAGAACCUGUUGUGUCAGGAAGGGAUGCCGAAGGUUGGGGGGCGGUUCUUAAGAAAGCUCGACGGUUACAGGGUGCAUUUCCUGCUUUGAAGGGAGUUUAGAAAAGGAGGACUAGAGGAACGAUGGCAUCCCUGAUGUCUUCCGUGGGAAAACAGGCACAGGAGAGGCAACAUUGCAGAGGUAAACAUUGCGGGCAGAUGAUGCUGCAGGUGAUAAAAAUUCUGUAGCAAGAGGAACCACUGGAUGGGUUAAGAGAGACCUGACCGGGGGUAGGUGAAAGUGGUCGAGAUCAAUCCAAGUGGAAGGCACACAGCUCCUCUUCCAGGGACCUCUGUGUACAUGGACAGCCUGCAGUGCUCUGGCUCUUUUCUCUCCUGACUCAGAGAAAUCAUCCCAUUACCAACAUCUAUGACAGAAACCACUGUAGCCUGUCAGUGGAGAACAAAUGGAGAGAGAAGCACACUUGAUGGGCCCUUUUUUCUCAGUGGCGUUCAGCUGCACAGAGAGACCACCAGUCUACCACCAGUUGCCACAGAACCGACUCUGACUCCUGGAGACCCCAUGUUUUAGAAGUAGAUCCCCAGGCCUUUCUUCACAGGUGCCUCUGGCUGGACAUGAACUUCCAGCCUUGCAGUUUACAGCCCAGCCUUCGGCCAUUUGCACCACCAGGGGCUCGACAGAGACAGGCAGUUCCUCUCACAAUACUGUCUUUUCCUGUCAUGUGGCUGGAAGAACAGGGCACUGACAAGUUCCUUGGAGGUUAAAAAUCUUUAAAACUGGAUUCAUCUGUGCACCCUGGCUUCAAUAUGCAAAUAGAAACCUGUGGUUGGUUUAACACAGAACCGACCUCUGGUGGGGCAAAUCUCUACUGAAUAGCCAUGUUUGGUUUCUACUCGAAGUAGCACAUUAAAUGCUGAAAGAAAAAAAAAAUCCUAUAGCGUUAGAGUCAUUUCCGACUCAUAGCGACCCUAUAG